GAACAAUGAUGAUACAUUGUGCAGUUUGUGUUAGAUGGGUCUUUCACUAACGUCGUACUUAGAUGAAACAAGCAUAUCUGAGUUU
rfam:Lupinus angustifolius cultivar Tanjil contig_49436, whole genome shotgun sequence.